GACGAACGCUGGCGGCGUGCUUAACACAUGCAAGUCGAACGAUUAAAGCUCUCUUCGGAGAGUGUAUAGAGUGGCGAACGGGUGAGUAACACGUGGGCAAUCUGCCCCUCACACUGGGAUAACUCAGGGAAACUUGAGCUAAUACCGGAUACUCCUUCUUGAUCGCAUGAUCGAGUCGGGAAAGCUCCGGCGGUGAGGGAUGAGCCCGCGGUCCAUUAGCUUGUUGGUGGGGUAACGGCCUACCAAGGCUGCGAUGGAUAGCCGACCUGAGAGGGUGAUCGGCCACACUGGGACUGAGACACGGCCCAGACUCCUACGGGAGGCAGCAGUGGGGAAUCUUGCACAAUGGGCGAAAGCCUGAUGCAGCAACGCCGCGUGCGGGAUGAAGGCCUUCGGGUUGUAAACCGCUUUCAGCAGGGAUGAAAACGACAGUACCUGCAGAAGAAGCCCCGGCUAACUACGUGCCAGCCGCCGCGGUAAAAC
rnacentral:rRNA from 1 species